AAUGUCCAUCUGAACAUGUGAACCAAUUAUGAUCACUCUUUCGGGCAAAUUUUCAAGCUUACUCCUUAAAGCAGUGUAUGCAUCUUGAUUCCCCACCAUAGACUUUUCUAUGUCUUUCACAAACAAUAUUAAAGGACCACGUUUACUCUCAUCUAAGGCAACCUCAAAGAGUUCAUUAACAGCAAGCCUAUCAACAUCUUCACCUCCAG
rnacentral:misc_RNA from 1 species